AGGUCAUGAUGGGGGCACUAUCUUAGCAUACUCUUAAAUCUGUCCCAAGCUUCAAAUAAUGAUUCUGAGUCUAUCUAUUUAAAGCUGGCAAUCAGGUUCCUCAUGU